rnacentral:siRNA from 1 species
ACGACUUUAACAUGGUAUCAGAGC